UACGUAGGUGACCAGCGUUGUCCGGAAUUAUUGGGCGUAAAGAGCUUGUAGGCGGUUUGUCGCGUCUGCCGUGAAAAUCCGAGGCUCAACCUCGGACUUGCGGUGGGUACGGGCAGACUAGAGUGUGGUAGGGGAGACUGGAAUUCCUGGUGUAGCGGUGAAAUGCGCAGAUAUCAGGAGGAACACCGAUGGCGAAGGCAGGUCUCUGGGCCACUACUGACGCUGAGAAGCGAAAGCAUGGGGAGCGAACAGG
rnacentral:rRNA from 1 species